rnacentral:rRNA from 1 species
UACAGAGGUCCCAAGCGUUGUUCGGAUUCACUGGGCGUAAAGGGUGCGUAGGCGGUCGGGUAAGUCUGAUGUGAAAUCUCACAGCUUAACUGUGAAACUGCAUUGGAUACUAUCCGGCUCGAGGAAUGGAGGGGAGACUGGAAUACUUGGUGUAGCAGUGAAAUGCGUAGAUAUCAAGUGGAACACCAGUGGCGAAGGCGAGUCUCUGGACAUUUCCUGACGCUGAGGCACGAAAAGAGCCAGGGGAAGGCUAAACACGGG